CACGUAGGGCGCGAGCGUUGUCCGGAAUUAUUGGGCGUAAAGAGCUCGUAGGCGGCCUGUUGCGUCCGCUGUGAAAGCCCGGGGCUUAACCCCGGGUCGGCAGUGGAUACGGGCAGGCUAGAGGUAGGUAGGGGAGAAUGGAAUUCCCGGUGUAGCGGUGAAAUGCGCAGAUAUCGGGAGGAACACCGGUGGCGAAGGCAGAUCUCUGGGCCGUAACUGACGCUGAGGAGCGAAAAGCGUGGGGAGCGAACAGG
rnacentral:rRNA from 1 species